AGUCGAACGGGCUCUUCGGAGCUAGUGGCGGACGGGUGAGUAACGCGUGAGAAUCUGGCUUCAGGUUCGGGACAACAGUUGGAAACGGCUGCUAAUACCGGAUGUGCCCUUGGGUGAAAGAUUUAUCACCUGAAGAUGAGCUCGCGUCUGAUUAGCUAGUAGGUGUGGUAAGAGCGCACCUAGGCGACGAUCAGUAGCUGGUCUGAGAGGAUGAUCAGCCACACUGGGACUGAGACACGGCCCAGACUCCUACGGGAGGCAGCAGUGGGGAAUUUUCCGCAAUGGGCGAAAGCCUGACGGAGCAAUACCGCGUGAGGGAGGAAGGCUCUUGGGUUGUAAACCUCUUUUCUCAGGGAAGAAUAAAUGACGGUACCUGAGGAAUAAGCAUCGGCUAACUCCGUGCCAGCAGCCGCGGUAAUACGGAGGAUGCAAGCGUUAUCCGGAAUGAUUGGGCGUAAAGCGUCCGCAGGUGGCAAUGUAAGUCUGCUGUCAAAGCGUCUGGCUCAACCAGAUAAAGGCAGUGGAAACUACAUAGCUAGAGUAAGGUAGGGGUAGAGGGAAUUCCUGGUGUAGCGGUGAAAUGCGUAGAGAUCAGGAAGAACACCGGUGGCGAAAGCGCUCUGCUGGACCUAAACUGACACUGAGGGACGAAAGCUAGGGGAGCGAAUGGGAUUAGAUACCCCAGUAGUCCUAGCCGUAAACGAUGGAUACUAGGCGU
rnacentral:rRNA from 1 species